GGAAAAUGUUCACUACCUUAAAUUUCUUACAUACCCAGCAAUUUUAUGUUUCCUUUUUUAUGUUAGGGGUGAAAAGAUAUGAAUUGGAAAAGAACUUGGGUUUAGGUCUUGCAUUUUUCCAAUUUGGAAUUUGUUUUAAAUAUCUAUGAUACGAUGAUUCUUACAAUUAAAGCAGUUAUAACAGUGAAAACGAUUAGAUAAUAACAUACUAGAUUACGGAUGGAUUAUAUGGUUCGCUACUGACCCCCUACGGAUCCAUAGAGGGUUAGUAAAAUCCAUAGGGGGUGAGGCCGAAGGACGAAUUUCCUUGGAUUUUAUUUACCCUCUAUGGAUCCGUAGGUGGUCAGUAGUUAACCGUUUAACGAAUUUAUCGCACGCAGGACUUUCUUGCUGCGUUUUGUUGAAAAAAAAUAAACAAUGAAACACAACAAAAUUAAUAGAUGACGUCACCAUUAACGCGUCAUGAACCCCCUAUGAAAUCUACUAACCCCCUACGGUCUCAUAGGGGGUCACCACGUGAUGGCGUUUAACCAAUUUACCCGCGGUGCGAUAACAAGAAUUAAGUUUUUAAAAAAAACGAUACUGUUCACGCCAUGCCAGUCUGUACACAAAGGGGUCGUAGUUUGUAAGUAUGUACUUCCAGGCAAACGUUUUGGAUCAAUACUCAAGUGCCAGAAUAUUCGUUGGAAAUUAUUUUGAUUAACAAAACAUUCUGGAAAACUUCCUAUACGUCUUAUGGCUACAUAUACCAUCCUGCCUAUUUUGCCCGACUGUGAUAUACCUAAUCAAUCUCCGGCGCAGAGUUCAUAUCCGUUUUAUACAUGCUCCGCAAUACUGCACUUACAUAUUGAGUGUAGUGUUACAAAGUAUUGAACGGAACGGAUAUGUGAUAUCUGCGCCGGAGAUUGAUACCUAAUGUGACCUAUGACCAUUUGUAUCGCCCUAGUAUUUUUUAUCUUCAUUCUCUUUUUUAUAAACACAUCAAAUUGUAUUCUAUUUUUUUUUCAAGUAUAAGAAAUUGACAUUAGUCUUCGUUUAUUUUUUGUCUUUUCUUCUAUCAAUGAAACGUUACGCCAAUUAAUAAUGAUAAAACUACCUACCUCAUUGAAAUGCGAGACUAACUUUUAAACCAAUUUUUAAUAUUUCUGCUCCGUCUUUGAUAGAUAUUAGACAUUAAAGUUUUCAGUCCAUGUGUCUAUCCGUUCAAUCGUCUCUUCAACUUUCUCACGUGAGGUUAAAGGCUUCGUGAUCACAUUAACCUGAAAUUUAGUUCAAUUGAUAUGCCCCAUUUAUGGGCAUUAUGUUUUCUGGUCUGUGCUUCCGUUCAUACGUCCGUUCGCACGUCUGUCCCUCUUCAGGUUAAAGUUUUAGAUAUGAUCUAAUUUUUUGCUAAAUUAGAGAUUUUACCCUAUUUUCACGGUCCACUGGACAUAAAAAAUGAUAGUGCGGAUUGGGAAUCCGUUUACUAUGGAUACAUUCUUGUUUUUUCAAAUUAUGGUUUUAAUCCAGAUUUGGCGGUUCAACGAACACAGAAAUUUCUUUGCCUAAAGCUAAAACCAAAAUCUCAAAAUCUAUCAUAUAAAGCCUUUUGCAUAAACUACAGUUUUAUAUAUAUAUAUAUAUAUGGUAACGUCCGAAAUUAUACCAUAGUUUUAUAACGAAAAUUAAUCAAAUUUUAUGUCCGUUUAGUCAUCUGCUCUUAUCUAGCUUAUAAUUCAAUGUCAAAG
rnacentral:lncRNA from 1 species